rnacentral:tRNA from 1 species
GUGAGUAUAGCUCAGUGGUAGAGCACAUGCUUAGCAUGCGUGAGGUCCUGGGUUCAAUCCCCUGUACCUGCA